rnacentral:rRNA from 1 species
AUUGAACGCUGGCGGCAGGCUUAACACAUGCAAGUCGAGCGGAGAUGAGGUGCUUGCACCUUAUCUUAGCGGCGGACGGGUGAGUAAUGCUUAGGAAUCUGCCUAUUAGUGGGGGACAACAUUCCGAAAGGAAUGCUAAUACCGCAUACGUCCUACGGGAGAAAGCAGGGGAUCUUCGGACCUUGCGCUAAUAGAUGAGCCUAAGUCGGAUUAGCUAGUUGGUGGGGUAAAGGCCUACCAAGGCGACGAUCUGUAGCGGGUCUGAGAGGAUGAUACGCCACACUGGGACUGAGACACGGCCCAGACUCCUACGGGAGGCAGCAGUGGGGAAUAUUGGACAAUGGGGGGAACCCUGAUCUAGCCAUGCCGCGUGUGUGAAGAAGGCCUUAUGGUUGUAAAGCACUUUAAGCGAGGAGGAGGCUACUGAGACUAAUACUCUUGGAUAGUGGACGUUACUCGCAGAAUAAGCACCGGCUAACUCUGUGCCAGCCGCCGCAGUAA